rnacentral:rRNA from 1 species
GAUGAACGCUGGCGGCGUGCCUAAUACAUGCAAGUCGAGCGAACCACUUCGGUGGUGAGCGGCGAACGGGGGAGUAACACGUAGGUGAUCUGCCCAUCAGACGGGGACAACGAUUGGAAACGAUCGCUAAUACCGGAUAGGACGAAAGUUUAAAGGUACUUCUGGCACCGCUGAUGGAUGAGCCUGCGGCGCAUUAGCUAGUUGGUAGGGUAAAGGCCUACCAAGGCGACGAUGCGUAGCCGACCUGAGAGGGUGAACGGCACACACUGGGACUGAGACACGGCCCAGACUCCUACGGGAGGCAGCAGUAGGGAAUCUUCGGCAAUGGGCGAAAGCCUGACCGAGCAACGCCGCGUGAAUGAUGAAGGCCUUCGUUCCGUAAAGCUCUUUUGUUUAUGACGAACGUGCGAGUUGUGAAUAAUGACUUGUAAUGACGGUAGUAAACGAAUAAGCCACGGCUAACUACGUGCCAGCAGCCGCGGUAA